ensembl:snoRNA
AUCCUUUUGUAGUUCAUGAGCAUGACGAUUGGGUAUUCAUGUGCCUGUGUGAGAUGCGCCACCUUGAACCUUGUUACAACGUUGGUAUAUUACCCAUCUGACC